GGAGAAAUGGCUCAGUAGUUUAAGAGCACUGAUUGCGCUUCCAGAGGACCUGGGUUCAAAUCCCAGCACCUACA
rnacentral:tRNA from 1 species